GGGCAAAAAGUAAACAAGAAGUGAGGAAAAGCUGAGGCAUAACCGUCCUUUGCAUGUGGGGAGGUUCAGCCCUGCUUGGGUUCAGGGCACGGGUUGUGGGCGGGGUGACCGGGCCCCUGGGGGGCACCACGGAGAGGAGGCCCAGCUCCAGGGUGGCAUGGCCACGGCCCUCCCACCGUAGCCCCCCAUGGUCAAGGCUGAGGUCAUCCCUGGGGUCCCGUUCCCAAGGCCCUAACCCCAGGCACAGGGGUUCCUUGCUGGUGAAGAUUGCAUUUACUUCUUGGAGAGCGCAGGCCUGAGCAGGAGCAGGGGAGGGGGGGCGGCGGCGGGUGCUGAGCAGGGGGCUGGGGCUCGGGUCACAGGGAUCGUGUCCACACGGGGGAUCGCCCCCCAGGCCCCCUCCAAGGACUCCCACCAGGGUUUUGGAUUUGAGGUAAGACACGUGGAGAGGACGGAGACAUUGUGUCUGAGGCGGGACUGGGGGUCCAGCCCUGCCGUGUGAGGCAGCCUGGGGGUCCCCAUGGGCUCCUCCCUGGGUUUUGGGGUGCAGCCCGAGCAGGCGGCGACUGCAUUACUGGACGGGCCAGGUGGGCCUCCGCGCCCCCCGGGGACAUGGGCCUGUCCUCACCCCUCUCGCCCCGGCUCUGCCCUCCGCCUCUUAGGUCAAGCGAGGAGGCCACCCGUGCAAGGGACAGGCCACCUGUGACGUCGCUGUCAUUCCCCACUUGCUCACUCACAACCCGGCCGCCGCCCCCGGGGAUGAGUCCUUGAGCCCAGCCCCCCGACGGCUACCCAGCUAAACAGUUCAUUUUCUGCACGAUGCCUAGCUUCAAACUCCUGCGUCCUCGUGGGACUCCCUGGUUGUCUGCGAACCGCCUAGAAAUCCCAGGAUCUCCCCCAAGCAACCCCGGGAAGCUCCCCCCCACCCCGGAAGACCCAAGGACUGGUCCUAAAUCUCGCCAGCCUGGGAUAGGGUCCUGCAGGCACCUUGCUACAGCCUUGGCCUUGGCCCUGGAGUGCGAGCAGCCGGGAGGUUGGCAGGGGCUCCCUGGCCCGCGGGCCGCCCGGCUUCGGCGCCUUGUACCCUGGGGGUCACACGUGAGACCAGCGUCCCCAGGCGGGCAGUCGUCCUGUCUCCGUGGCGAAGUCACAGAAGACCCCGCUGCCAGUUGGCCAGAGUUUCCAGGUAGCAUGAACGUCUGGCCCUCCUGUGAUUUAGUGCGACGUGUCCUGGAUUCCAGUUUGCCCUGAGUCUACACGCCGGGUAAGCGGCUUCCUAUCCAACAGCCCAAAAGCACGUGUGGGGGAGCCGGCAGGGGGGCCUGCGGUGGGGACCUUCAGGGGGACCUGCGGAGGGGCGGGUGGGGGGACCUGCGGGGGAGCCGGCGGGGGGACCUGCGGGGAGGCCGGUCGGGGGGCCUGUGGAGGGGACCUGCGGGGAGGCCAGCGGGGAGGGGCCGGGGAGGGACCUGCGGAGGGAGGCCCAGAGCAGGUGCUGCACAGCAGCCCAGCCCCAGCCUGAAAAGUGGGCCUGGGUGUGGCGCUCAGGCCUCAGCCCCACAUCUUUGCCUCCAGAAGUCAGAGAAACAGGCGGCAAAGGGACCCCCUGCUGUGCCGGGGGACACACAGACCCCCGCAGGCUUGAUGCAUGUGACAGCUGGCCUUUGGUCACCACUGUGGGCUCCCGCCCCAGCUUCUCUGCAGCUUGGAUGCGGUGGGCGCCGGGAGGGGGGCCUUCCUGGCCAUGGACCCCUCCUCCCCCUCCCCCGGCCCCUCUACUGCAUCUUGCUGGGGGUUGUUUUGUGCAAAGACACACACACCAGGGACUUGUCAUCAGAAAAUGCAGCUUUAAGCAGGGGCCUCAUGGAAUCACUGCACGUGACGCCCAGGCUCCUGUUUUCAUGUGCGGCUCCUAAACCCCAAAACGCGGGAACAGGCUUGGGCAGCUGCUCCGGUUCCUCCAGGUGAGGGACUGUGGGCUCCUGCCCCGACGUCUGGCACGGGACGCGUCCGUCUGCAGUUUACCCAGACAACCAGGUAGUUCCAGUUGUAGUGAGAUGACUACUACGACUGGCGCGGCUCCGCGAGGCUCGGCGUCGCCGUGGGGCUGCUUGCAUGUCAGAGGCGCCGGCGAGGGGACCAGAGAAGUGGCCGUCGCAGCUGGAGGGGGGCCACGGUGGGGCCGCGGCUAUAAGGCGGGUGGCGCUGGGGUGCUUCCCGGAGAACGGGGUGUGGGCCCCUGAGCUCCUCU
rnacentral:lncRNA from 12 species